GGACUACAAGGGUAUCUAAUCCUGUUUGCUCCCCUAGCUUUCGCAGCUCAGCGUUAGUAAUGGCCCAGAGACCUGCUUUCGCCAUAGGUAUUCCUCCUGAUAUCUACGCAUUUCACCGCUACACCAGGAAUUCCAGUCUCCCCUACCAUACUCGAGUCCGGUAGUUUCCCUUGACCUCUCCCAGUUGAGCCAGGAGCUUUCACAAAAGACUUACCGAACCGCCUACCUGCGCUUUACGCCUAGUGAUUCCGAGUAUCGCUUGCCACCUACGUAUUACCGCGGCGGCUGGCAC
rnacentral:rRNA from 1 species